rnacentral:lncRNA from 1 species
AAAUAUGAUCAUGCAAAGCAUGGAAAUUACCAUUACUAUAAUUUUAAUAAAGGAUAUAAACACUAAAAAGUAGAGCCAAAGGCUUAUCAAUAAUAAAAGAAUCCAUGCCACCAACAAACUCUACAACCCGUAUAUAUACAUUAGAAAUUAUAUCCACAGUAAAAAUAGCAAAGAACCGUCUUCCACACAAUAAUCUGGUCGCAGCCUCACCACCAUGUAGGCCUGGCAAUGGAGCAGGUUUUGACCAUGAUCCGAUCCAAACCCUUAACAAUUAUACGGGUUUGGAGCAUAGUUUUUGAUCCGUUUACCCGCUAACGACCCGUACCCGCUAACCCUUUUAUUAAAAGGGUCGGGUAUAGAUCAUCACCGAUCCGUUGCGUUUAUAACCCGUCCCAUAUAAAUUUUAGAAAUAUAAAUUUAUAUUUUAUAUUGCCUACAGUUUACAUUAAAUUCCAAUCAGAAGUCCAAAGAGAAAAGGCAAAGACUAAAUUGUUUUUACAUUGGACUCGAUGACUCAACUUCUAGACUUCUGGUCUUCUCCCGAGAGUCAUGAUUUCAUUUCAUUUAUAUUUCAUCAUGUAAUCAUCAAUUUCAUUUAUAAAUCAAUAAGGUCAUUUAUCAACCUGAAGAAAGUUUGUAAUUGUUAUUCUCUAUCAAUACAAUCGACGAUCAAAAACCAAUCAGAAAUAACUAAAAUAAUGAUUUUAAUUGCAAUAGAAAGUCCUCGAGUAGAUAAUGUGUUUUCUAAAUCAAAACUUACUUUUAUUUAAUAAAUGUGAUUUUAUGAUUUAAGUAAAAUGUGUUUGAUUAUUCAGAAAAACUACGGGUUACGAGGCGGAUUUGAAUAUCUGCUAAUUCAAUGGAUAAGGAUAUGAAUUUGAUUAUUCAAAACCUGCGGGUUAUGGAGCGGGUUUGGAUCGGAUUUUGAAGUUUGUUAAAAGGGUUUGGAUCAAUGUCGAUUCGCUCCAAACCCGCCCCAUUGUCAGGUUUACCAUCAUUUCUUCCGAAUUCUUUCGUUUUCCAACGGCAAAAAAAAUAAACAGAAAUAAUUAAAAGAAUAAAGCAGAUUAAGUAUACAUAAACCAAAAAAAUACAAAUAAACCACAUUUCCUUCAUAUCUUCGAUAUAACUCAUAGAAGUUCAAAUUAGACAACUAUUUUUAAAAGUUUUGGUCCAUUUUAAGUAAAAAAUAAUAAUAAUAAUAAUAAUAAUAAUAAUAAUAAUAAUAAAGAAACCUAUAACCAAAAUUGAACAGGAGAAUGUAUUAGGCUCUGAUUUGGAGAUUAAACAAUCCAGAUAUGUUUCAAGAACUACAAAGCCUUACAAAUCCGACUCAUUUACUUCACAUAUUGGAGUUAACUCUUGUUUACUUCAAGAAAGAAAGGGGUAAAGAGAGUGAGUAAUGAAGCAUGGUUUCAAGAUGAUGUACCCAUAAUCUUGGUGGAGACGACAGUGGCUGCUGUGAAAUGUCAUUGACACGGUGGUGUAUUAGGGUUUCUCAAAGAGAGAGGGAAAUAGGGAGAGAAAGAGAGAUAUGUUGUUGACGGCUGAUGAUUUUUGACAAAGGUGUAAAACGUUAAAAUAGGGGUUUGAGGCAAAUCAAAGGUCAUGGAAUGAAAAAGUCAU